rnacentral:rRNA from 1 species
UACGGAGGGGGCAAGCGUUAUUCGGAAUUACUGGGCGUAAAGGGCGCGUAGGCGGUUCGUUAAGUCCUGUGUGAAAUCCCCCGGCUCAACUGGGGAACUGCACAGGAAACUAGCGGGCUUGAGUUCGGGAGAGGGAAGCGGAAUUCCGGGUGUAGCGGUGAAAUGCGUAGAUAUCCGGAGGAACACCGGUGGCGAAGGCGGCUUCCUGGACCGACACUGACGCUGAGGCGCGAAAGCUAGGGGAGCAAACAGG